rnacentral:rRNA from 1 species
AUUGAACGCUAGCGGGAGGCUUUACACAUGCAAGUCGAACGAGUGGCGGACGGGUGAGUAAUAUAUGGGAACGUGCCCAGUAGCGGGGGAUAACUACUGGAAAGAGUGGCUAAUACCGCAUACUAUCGGAUCUGCCCAUAUCGGAUUAGCUAGUUGUGGGGGUAAAGGCUCCCCAAGGCGACGAUCCGUAGCUGGUUUGAGAGGACGACCAGCCACACUGGGAAUGAGACACGGCCCAGACUCCUACGGGAGGAAGCAGUGGGGAAUUUUGGACAAUGGGGGCAACCCUGAUCCAGCCAUCCCGCGUGUAUGAGAAGGCCUUCGGGUUGUAAAGUACUUUUGGCAGAGAGGCGGUACCCGCAGAAUAAGCACCGGCUAACUCCGUGCCAGCAGCCGCGGUAAUUC